rnacentral:tRNA from 1 species
GGACGGUUAGCUCAGCUGGUUAGAGCGCUACAUUGACAUUGUAGAGGU